GAUUGUAGUAAUAGAGAAGCGAAGCCAAGAACACCAAAAAAAAUGAGAAGGGAAAAGACCCUUCCUCGAAGACGAGGAGAUAAGGGGCGAAGGAUAUUCAUGAUAUUCAGAAAGAUUUAUGUUCAUUCGCUCUGCUCGCAGAGCGGUAUACCGAAAAAAGGAUAUUCAUGAUAUUCAGAAAGGUUUAUGUUCAUUCGCACUGCUCACAGAGCGGUAUACCGAGAAAAAGAAGCGACUACCUUACUUAAGCAAUUCUGCUUAUUCUUAUUCUUUCUUAGUUGAAGUUCCUAUAUUGGCUUUUUCUUUCUUCUAUGAAUGUUAUAACUCCUAAUUCUUUGGUAGAAGACCUCUUUGAUAGUUCGACCGUUAUCCCCCGUCUAACUCAACUAUUCGACUACCUCU
rnacentral:lncRNA from 1 species